AACAAUGCAACGACAAUGUUUGUAUAACGGUGGGUCAAACUUUUCCUCGUAAUUUUGCUCGAUUCGAAAUUCAGUUUGAAUCUAGCGAACGUUGGAACGUCAUCAUUCGUCGACCGGAUUGCCGUAUUUAUCACCGGAAUAUAGAACUGUUCUACAUACUGAUUCUACAUUGGCCAAAAGGAUACCUUCCAUAUUAGGCUUCGAUAAAUCUUCGCCUGUUGUUGCUUCAAUGAAACUUCAAAGGAUGAGUGCAGGCGAUCCACUGUACGGCUCCCUUGCGCAUCGGAAUGGUCAGUAAUCCCUGACGAGGCUUCUUUAUGACGUGGGCCAAUUUGUGUGUUAAACGCGUGACUGUUGAUAAUACCGGAGUUAUGGGAGAGCUGCUUAGCCAUGCGGCGUGCACUUUUCCUCGGAUAAUAUAUGGUGUUCCUGCAAAGUCGAUCCAACGUGACGCAGGUGUUAGCGAUGUCAAGGCUCUUGAAGCUAUUUACCUCAGUUCAAGUACAAGCCUAUAUUGGGUUUUAAUGAAGUAUCAUUAGGCCUAAGGCCUAGUCAAGCUUCACCUGGAUGGCGAAUGCUGGUCGGUUCAUAGCGUGUCAAGGCCUUUUCUUUGCGCUACCCUCCCAGGACAUGUUGGAGCGGGCAAAUUUUCACGAAGAAUACACCUUAACAAUACAAAAAAAAAAACUUGUGUGCGAAUCGAAACUUGCAGAAAAAAUGAGAGCAGUUUAGAUGCCAAUAGUACGACUAGCCGAUAAUAUAGCCGUCUACUGCAAUAUGCUGUUUCUGCUUCUUCAGAGUCACAUAUUGUGUUCUUAAUCUUAACAUCUCCGUUUUGUUCAGUGCAACGUAAGGCGUUAGUGAAUCUAAAUCAAUUCUGGAUCGACUCCAUCAUUAAUAAUAGUGUUCAGGUGAGAAUCAUUGAAGCAGGAAAACUAAGGCAGCUAGAAGAUCUGCCACUAUUUAUUCCUGCACAUCUUAAAGAAGCGCAUAAGUAUUUUAAAGCAUUUAGCUCUAAUGAUGAACGUGACAACAAUGGAGUAAUCUAGCGGUGUAUGAUAGCCUUUGAAGUGAGAUUUGAGGAACAUAUUAUGGACGGUUGUCUCACUGUCGAUGCUCACAAGCAAUCACCUCCAUGCCUGCUACACAAUUCGUCGUCCUAGCUCGCCCAUCUUUCUGACGUAAAAGAGCCACCAUAGCCCCAGCCCUCUGUCAGCCAG